UACAGUUUGUAGAUCAAACCGUUGUGCCA
rnacentral:sRNA from 1 species